GACGAACGCUGGCGGCGUGCUUAACACAUGCAAGUCGAGCGAUGAAGCACCUUCGGGUGUGGAUUAGCGGCGAACGGGUGAGGAACACGUGAGGAAUCUGCCUUCCACCCUGGGAUAACUCCGGGAAACCGGGGCUAAUACCGGAUACUUUCAAUUGACGGCAUCGCCGGGUGAAGAAAGUUUUUCGGUGGAAGUUGACCUCGCGGCCUACCAGCUUGUUGGUGAGGUAAUGGCUCACCAAGGCGACGACGGGGAGCCGGCCUGAGAGGGCGACCGGCCACUGGGACUGAGACACGGCCCAGACUCCUACGGGAGGCAGCAGUGGGGAAUAUUGGGCAAUGGAGGAAACUCUGACCCAGCGACGCCGCGUGAGGGAUGAAGGCCUUCGGGUUGUAAACCUCUUUCAGCAGGGAAUAAGCGAAAGUGAAGGUACCUGCAGAAGAAGCACCGGCUAACUAUGUGCCAGCAGCCGCCGUAAUAC
rnacentral:rRNA from 1 species